rnacentral:lncRNA from 1 species
GUCCGAAGUCGUCCAGAGGAUCGUUCGCGUCGAUCCCGAACAGCGGGUUUGGGACUCUCUGGGAUCCUUUCUCGAGGUAAGCAGAUUCACUUUCUUCCUUUCCCUCGCUCCUUCAUUUAAUUAACUUCUCAGCUUUCAUUCUGACCUUCUGGCCGCCCUUGCAGAUCGGGCACCAGCUCCUCGCCAACAUCAAGGCGAUGAACAAGGCGAGG